CAGUAGCCGCGGUAAUACGGAGGGAGCUAGCGUUAUUCGGAAUUACUGGGCGUAAAGCGCACGUAGGCGGCUUUGUAAGUUAAAGGUGAAAGCCUGGAGCUCAACUCCAGAAUUGCCUUUAAGACUGCAUCGCUUGAAUCCAGGAGAGGUGAGUGGAAUUCCGAGUGUAGAGGUGAAAUUCGUAGAUAUUCGGAAGAACACCAGUGGCGAAGGCGGCUCACUGGACUGGUAUUGACGCUGAGGUGCGAAAGCGUGGGGAGCAAACAGGAUUAGAGACCCCGGUAGUCCCUGUCUCUUAUAC
rnacentral:rRNA from 1 species